CAUGAACGGUCUGGCUGGAGUCAACGCCCUUGUGUGGGUGGCUGUCGGAUUAGCUGUGCUGAUUAAUGAAGCCGCUGCUUCUCUAGGAGGCGGUGUUGGAGGUGGCAGAGAAGAUACCGCAAGUGAAUGAAUCCAAACUAAAGCCAGACUCAUGCCUCGGUCCAGAAGUUCACGAGUCCGCUUACGCUUUGAAUAAAGUGAUGAAAUU
rnacentral:lncRNA from 1 species